UACGUAGGGUGCAAGCGUUAUCCGGAAUUAUUGGGCGUAAAGAGCUCGUAGGCGGCCUGUCGCGUCGGAUGUGAAAGCCCGGGGCUUAACCCCGGGUCUGCAUUCGAUACGGGCAGGCUAGAGUGUGGUAGGGGAGAUCGGAAUUCCUGGUGUAGCGGUGAAAUGCGUAGAUAUCAGGAAGAACAUCGGUGGCGAAGGCGCUCUGCUGGACCGACAUUGACACUAAAGCGCGAAAGCCAGGGGAGCAAACGGG
rnacentral:rRNA from 1 species